rnacentral:rRNA from 1 species
AUUGAACGCUGGCGGCAGGCCUAACACAUGCAAGUCGAGCGGGGUUUUCGGACCUAGCGGCGGACGGAUGAGUAAUGCGUAGGAAGCUACCCGAUAGAGGGGGAUACCAGUUGGAAACGACUGUUAAUACCGCAUAAUGUCUACGGACCAAAGUGUGGGACCUUCGGGCCACAUGCUAUCGGAUGUGCCUACGUGGGAUUAGCUAGUUGGUGAGGUAAUGGCGCACCAAGGCGACGAUCCCUAGCUGGUUUGAGAGGAUGAUCAGCCACACUGGAACUGGGACACGGGCCAGACUCCUACGGGAGGAAGCCGUGGGGAAUAUUGGACAAUGGGCGCAAGCCUGAUCCAGCCAUGCCGCGUGUGUGAAGAAGGCCUUCGGGUUGUAAAGCACUUUCAGUAAGGAGGAAGCGUUGAGUGUUAAUAGUACUCAGCGUUGGCGUUACUUACAGAAGAAGCACCGGCUAACUCUGUGCCAGCAGCCGCCGCAGUAA